GGGGUCCAUUCCACGGGUUCCGUGCCGUAGCUAACGCCUUAAGUACCCCGCCUGGGGAGUACGGCCGCAAGGCUAAAACUCAAAGGAAUUGACGGGGCCCCGCACAAGCGGCGGAGCAUGCGGAUUAAUUCGAUGCAACGCGUAGAACCUUACCUGGGUUUGACAUGGAUCGGGAGUGCUCAGAGAUGGGUGUGCCUCUUUUGGGGUCGGUUCACAGGUGGUGCAUGGCUGUCGUCAGCUCGUGUCGUGAGAUGUUGGGUUAAGUCCCGCAACGAGCGCAACCCGUGUUGCUAGUUACAAGUGUCUAGCGAGACUGCCGGUAACAAGCCGGAGGAAGGUGCGGAUGAUGUCAAGUCAGCAUGGCCUAUAUGUCCAGGGCUACACACACGCUACAAUGGCUGGUACAAAGAGAAGCGAGAGGGAGACCUGAAGCGAAUCUCAUCAAAGCCAGUCAUAGUUCGGAUUGCAGGCUGCAACUCGCCUGCAUGAAGUCGGAGUUGCUAGUAACCGCAGGUCAGCAAUACUGCGGUGAAUACGUUCCCGGGCCUUGUACACAC
rnacentral:rRNA from 1 species